GAUGAACGCUGGCGGCGUGCCUAAUACAUGCAAGUCGAGCGAACAGACGAGGAGCUUGCUCCUCUGACGUUAGCGGCGGAAGGGUGAGUAACACGUGGAUAACCUACCUAUAAGACUGGGAGAACUUCGGGAAACCGGAGCUAAUACCGGAUAAUAUAUUGAACCGCAUGGUUCAAUAGUGAAAGACGGUUUUGCUGGCAAUUAUAGAUGGAGACGCGCCGCAUUAGACAGUUGGUAAGGUAACAGCUUACCAAGGCAACGAUGCGUAGCCGACCUGAGAGGGUGAUCGGCCACACUGGAACUGAGACACGGUCCAUACUCCUACGGGAGGCAGCAGUAGGGAAUCUUCCGCAAUGGGCGAAAGCCUGACGGAGCAACGCCGCGUGAGUGAUGAAGGUCUUCGGAUCGUAAAACUCUGUUAUUAGGGAAGAACAAAUGUGUAAGUAACUAUGCACGUCUUGACGGUACCUAAUCAGAAAGCCACGGCUAACUACGUG
rnacentral:rRNA from 1 species